AGAAAGGCACAAAAAACAGAGAGAGGGGACGUGAGGGUGACAUGUGAGAGAGAGAGAGAGAAAUAAAAAGAAAAAAAAGAAAAGGAGGAAAAGAAGAACUACUGUUCUUCUUCUUCGGGUCUUCCUUCGGCUUCCCCUCGCUGCUCGAGCUGCCGCCCACCGCCGCGCCUCCACCAGCCAUCGUCGCGCCAACCUUCGAGCAGCACCGGAGCUCCGCCUCACCGCGCGACCUCCGCCGUCCACUUCGUCCCGCGCGUCGCUUCGCCCCCAGCCGCGACGAAGCUUCUGUUUCUGCGACGCCCUUGCAGAUCCCGAGUCCCCUUUGUGCCGAGCGACGCCCACAGCAACACUCCGCCGGUUUUUGCCGCGGGUGCAGCUAGCCCCAAUCGUCACACCAGCAUCGCCCAGCUUCGCCGGAGAUCUGCUCCUGCUCAGCCCCGCGUUCGCUGAGCCCCUCGCCGCACCACUGAGACUCAGGUAGCCCGAGACUCCGCCGCUGGCCCCCUGUGACGAGCCGCCGCUCCAGCAGCUAGAUCCGACGGCCGUGACCUCUGAUUAGCGAUCCGACGCUGCAGACCAAGCUGCUCCGCCACUCGUCCGCCUUCACCCGUGAUGGCCACCUUACUGUAGCAGCCGCGACCCGACGCCCCUGCAGUUUCACCCUCUACUGCUGCCCGACGCCACAGGAACCCGCGCCGCCAUUCUGCUGCCCCGCCGGACGCCGCGUUGCCGCCUCGCUGCCUUGGUCCAGCACGAGCACCCUUCCGCAGCGCCCGAGCCAGUCAUCGCACCUGCACUCGCUUGCCUCCGCACAGCUCUCUGCUCCGCACCUAUGCUCGAGCCCGAACAAGUCACUGAUUUUUCUUCCCUGCAGCUCCGAAUUGCCGGACCUCGCCGGAGCUCCGCAUCUCCGCGACCUCUGAUCGACGGUGACGCCACCGCCGCAGCCGCCGCCCCUCACCGGAGCCGGUGACCAGCCGCACGAGCACAAGCCGUGCUUGGGAAGAAAAAGAAGAAAGGAAGAAAAAGGAAAAUUAAAUUAGGUAGUGUUUUUGUUUAUUUUAUUUGUUUUGUUUUCGGUGGAAAUAUUUUCCAAUGCAUGUUUGAAGUUCUAUGAUGUAACGUCCAAAUCAUAACCGCACGAAUUUUUAUUCUAUCUAUAAGGCUUUAGAUG
rnacentral:lncRNA from 1 species